AAUAUGUUAAAUCUCGGAGAAGCUGUGGAGUGACAGCAGAAUGGCAAAGUCAAUGGGACGUGUGUGGGAGGGAAGCCGUCUAUCUGUGUCUGCAGUGGGGCCGCCUCCUCUCUGUACCCUUGAACUGCAGCUGAGGGACAGGAUGGCACCAGAUACCUGAGUUCCUGGAACUUCCCCACUCUCCCUUCCUCUUCCACCUCACGGGCCAUCUUCCCUUGGCUGCUUCUCGUAGGAAGAAAGACUGUCCUUUGUCAGGUCCAAGUCUACCCUAGUAAUGGCCUCAUCAGGAAGUCCUUCUUGUAGUCUAACCAGCACUCCCUCUUGCUACAGUCAUUAAUUCUAUAGUGGCUGUUUACAGCCUAAAGUGAUUUGUAGGGGAAUUCUUUUUUCUUUCUAACUUUUCAUUCCCACUCUCUCCUCAGCUACUCCGUGGCUGGCCUCCUGUUUCCCAGCGUUUCAACUUUACCCCACCCAGACUUCACCUCCUCCCUUCCAGCCGCCUGUUCCCAGAGGCAGGAGUGUAGGGGGAGGUGCGGGGAGGGAAGUGGGGAUUCCUCUGUAAGCCACAGUGUCACCAGGAGCCGUGAUUAGCCGAGCUGCUAGCUGUGUAAUUGGCGUGUGCCCGCGUCCCAGGGGUCUGGUAUGUUAACAGCGGGUCCCUGUGAGAAAGUUUGCCAACCUCCUGGUCUAGACAAGAUUUUGCUGUAACUGUGUGACUACCGACAAAUCUGGCUGUAGGAUUGGACCUUAUCCGUAGAGACUGGGUUUCACCAUGUUGACCAGGCUGAUCUUGAACUCCUGACCUCAAGUGAUCCGUCCAUCUCGGCCUCCCAAAGUGCUGGAUUACAGGCAUGAGCCACGGCGCCCGGUCCAUCUUCCUGUGUUUCAACUUCCCACUCUGAAACUAUCUGCACCAACCAGUGUCAUAGUUUGCUACCAGAAGUAUGGAUAAUUGAGACCACAGAGAACCCUCCCUAAAACAGUGAAAAACCUCAGAAGCCUUUCAUUUAUAAAGGAGUGAGGGCCCUGCUCUCUACGGCCUCGGCCCUGGCCUCAGCACUUACAAGCUUUCCUGACACCUGGAACUGUGAACCUGGCACCAAGCAGAAAAUAAACUCCAAGGAGCCAGUGAAAAAAGAAAAGAAAAGAAAGCCUUCAGUUUAAAAGAUGUGGAGAUGAAUGCUUGAGAGUUGAGAUGCUUCUCCCACCCCUCCUCCUUCUGGCCUCAUGAUGUCCUGCCAUUCAUACAUUUGAGAUGUGCUAAAGUGUAUCUACCCAUCCUGCUCAUCUUCACCUGGAAGAAUGCUGGCUGAUUCCAUGUGUCCCACAGGGGGAUGUGUUGAUUCAGCAGCAGAAAGCCUUUGCCAUUCAGAAUAUGGAAAUGGGAGAAAUGGAGCCAGAAAAUGUUUACAGAACAGUGAGAGAAGAAAAGAAAAAAUCCCAAGGUACAGCUGACCUGUUUAAAUGCAGAAUAUACUUAAAAGACCCCAAAGACUGAGGCUUUUGUAACAUGAAUGAGGAAUAUUAAAGGUAAAAGAUUCUUGUUUUCCAACAGAGAUAUUCCUAAACCUACCAAGCAGAGGAGAAUCCACAAUAUCUGUUGCGGUAGGAAGUUCUUCUGCAGUCUAACCUUAAUCCCUCCAAUGCUAGUUUAUUUGCCUAUAUUAAUGUGUUGCUUUGUAAAUGUUCUUAGGUUGCUUUUAUUGUGUGUGUGUUUGCCUUCACAGGUAAACUCCUCCUGGGCAGGAUCUGACUCUUUAGAGGAAUUUUUUAACCCCCCUCCCCAGAAGUGUCCAUAUCAAGGCCAUGGUAGAGAAGAUGCUCAAGAGCAAUCCCUAAGAAACCAUACUUGGAAGCAUCCUGCAUCAGAGGGGUUUGUUCCAGGCUCAGAUUUAAUCCCACUAUUUCCUUUUCAUAAGACAAGUGUUGUCUGAAGGAGUCUGUGUGUGAUUUUGAGAUGAAAGGAUUGCAGAACUCAACUCCCAGGUUGUCUCGUAUCUGAUUCUUUGACAGGGGAAAAGAAGUGGACUCUUCUACAAAUAGCUGAGCAGACAAGAGAGAAAAAGCUUGAAGAUUCACCGUGGAGUGAGGCUAAUUGGAGCCUUCCUCAGAGCAACUCAACUUUCCCAGUUUUACCUAUCCCAUUCCUUGCCAUUCCCACCUGUAAUUCUGUCUUGGCAAGAACCCUACACUGGAUGUUCUCAAAGUGCUUUGUAGACUUUAAUUAGUUCUGUGGGAAGUCAGGCAAAGCUCAGCCGUCAUUCUGCCAACAGAGAUGACAGUGGUGGGUGUGGAAGGAAGGCAAGAAGAAGAUGGACACCCAGAACAGUUGUGCAACUUACUGAGGGCCAUGUGGAUAGAAGGAACUGGGUUUAAAACCCCUGAGUCUCGAUAAAAGUGUCUUAGCCUUCCAGAUUCCUAAACAGGUAGUGGGCUCAUCCUACUAACCUACUUUGCUAGGGUGUUGUUGAUGAAUGCUUAUAAACCCUGUCCCAGAUGAUAGGUUUGGAAGAUUGUUAAGGAAAGCAUGUCAUUAAGUCCCUACUCACCCCCUCCUUGACAAAUAGCCCUAGAGGGAAAUGAAUGUAAGCCAGAAUCGGAGGGCCUCCACUUCAAUGGGAUGAACUGAGAUUCAGCAACAGGAGAAAUUUUCUAGCAGUGAGGGAAAUCAAGGACAUGUUAGGGAUGGAGGGUAGGGUUUGGGAAGGCCUAAAACAGGUGACCCAUGGCCAGACAGCCUGAACAAGAUCAUCAUGGAAUAACUGAUUCCCAUUAGUCGCUGUGGAUGGUCAUUUUCUUAAAAUUCAGGACACUAUUUUUGUAGUAGUUUCUCUUCCUCUUUUUGUAAGAGCAGAAGACCUCUGUGGGGCCUACUGCAAAUGAGAGACAUAUUUUGAGCCUGGAACUGCUCUGUGCUUCUCUGAAAGACAUGGUUAAGGGUUUGGGCUCUGAUGUUAGAGACCUAGAUUAAAAUCCUUCCUUGCCACUUCCAUCUGUAUCAACUUGGGUUCCUGCCACAAUGAGCUUCCUGCUAUCCCAUGCCCUGUGAUGCCACAAGCCUCUUCAUAUGUCAGUCCUUCUGUCUGGAAUGCCCUUCUCAUUCUCCUCCUAAGAAAUUCCUACCUAGUCUUCAAUGCUGCCUAAACAGCACCACUCCGAGAAGGCAACAUUGAUGUAUUCCUCUCUGAAGAGUUAGAUGCCCCCCUUCUGUGUGCCAAUAGCAACAUGUUUCGUGUGAUGGACAUCUAGUAGAGACAGUGAGUGAGUGACUGAAGCAGCAGUUUUCCACUGAGCAGUCCAUGCAGUGGGCGUGAAGUUACCAACACGUCUUUUUAAAACGUGCAAGAGAAAGGACUUUAAGUGAAUGUGCUGCACCAGCAGGGUAAUAUAUCCCAAAGACAAGUGCAAAUGAUAUUUGCUUUUUUCUUAUUGUUUGGAUUAACUGAUAUUGCAGAUUACUAUUUGGAUGAACUCUGCCUCUUCUUCCUUCCUGUGAUAUUGAUCUAAUUGAGUAUAUAAGUCCUUGUCUUAGAUUACCCACACCAUUGUGCCCCUUGCCCAGCGUAAAUAAUUGGGAGUUACCUAUAAUUGCUGUCUCAUUCUGGGAUAACUGAUUUGGGUGCUAUAUCAUGGACAAUUGGUGGGUCAUACAUAACAGAACUUGGUAUGGGUUUUCCAAAAUAUUCUGUGGCCGACAUAUUGAUUUUAAGCGUUUGCUGUUUUCACCUUCAAACUCUAGAAUGUUUUUUCUUUUUGUUUUGCUCACUCCUAUAUCUUAAGCAGUUGCAACAGCGACUGAUACAUAGUCAGUAUUUGAUAAAUGGUUGUUGAAUGAGUGAAAGUAUUUUCAUUAUCUUCAGAUAUUUCAUACAUAUAAAAGAAUAUAUAUAACUUAAAUGUAAGAUUAAAUAAUUUGGACAGACACCCAUGUCCUACCACAUAAGAGAGAGAUUAUUGGUGGUUUUUGUUGUUGUUUUUUUUGAGAUGGAGUCUUGCUCUGUCGCCAGGCUGGAGUGCAGUGGUGCGAUCUCGGCUCACUGCAACCUCUGCCUCCCCGGUUCAAGCAGUUCUCCUACCUCAGCCUCCCAAGUACCUGGGACUACAGACAUGCACUACCAUGCCCAACUAAUUUUUGUAUUUUUAGAAAAGGCGGCUUUUUGUCAUGUUGGUCAGGCUGGUCUUGAACUCCUGAAAUCAGGUAAUCUGCCCGUCUCGGCCUCCCAAAGUGCUGGGAUUACUGGCAUGAGACACCACGCCUGGCCAGAUUAUUGUUAAUAUUGAUGAAGCCUUUUUGGUGUCCCUAUCUGAUUAUCUCUUUUCAUUCCCUUGGAAGGAAACUUUCACUCCCAAUUUUGCAUUUAUCAUUCAUCACAUUUCAUUAUGUUUUGGCUACAUAUAGAUCCCUUAACAAUAUAUUAUUUAGUUUUUAAUGUGUUUUCCCUCUAUAAUGUAUGAAUUCUUUGGCAACCUGCUUUUUUCUCUCAACAUUAUGCUAUGACACUCAUCCUCAUUGCUGGCUAUAGUUUUAGUUCAUUUUUACUGCUGUAUUAUAGUUAAAUAAAUAAACAUACCACAAUUUAUUUGCCCAUUCUCCCGUCAAUAGUUAGUCCAGUUGUUUUCAGGUCUUUGUUUUUAUAAAUGAUACUGUUAUAAAUAUUGUUGCACAUGUCUCUAGAAAUAUAUGUACAAAAGUUUCUCCAGGAUGUAUAUUUAAGAACUGAUGGACACAGAUAACAUUAUAUUCAGGAGUGAAACAUUGAAAGCUUUCUCUCUAAGAACAAGAACAAAGCAAGGAUGCCUGCUCUUACCACUUCUAUUCAGCAUAGCACUGGAAUUCCUGGCCCAAGCAAUCAAGCUAAGAAAAGGAAAUAAAAGGUCAAAUGCUCUUUGACAAAAGUGCCAAGACACAUAAUGGUGAGAGGAUUGUCUCUUCAACAAAUGAAGUUGACAAAACUGAAUGAGAAAGAGGGAAACUGGACCAUUAUCUAAUGCCAUCAACUUACAAAAACCAACUCAGAAUGUGUUAGAGACCCAAACGUAAGACCUGAAACUCAAAAACACAGAGGGGAAAAGCUGUGUGACACUAGAUCUGACGAUGAUUUCUUGGAUAUGACAUAAAAGCACAGGCAACAGAAGCAAAAAUAGACAUUAAAACUACAUCAAACUUAAAAACUGCACGGCAAAAGAAACAAUCAACAGAGUAAAAAAGCAGCCUAUGGAAUGGGAGAAAAUAUGUUUAAGCCAUAUGUCUGAUAAGGGGUUAAUAUCCAGAAUACAUAAAAAACUCCUACAACUCACAAACAAUAUAAAAUAUAAUUUAUUAGAAAAUGGGCAAAUGACUUAAAUAGAUAUUUCUCCAAAGAAGAUAUGCAAGUGGUCAAAAAGCAUAUGAAGAGAGGCUUUACAUCAGUUAUCAUUGGGGAAAGGCAAAUCAAAACCACAGGAGAUCCUGGACAAUUGUGGGUCAUACAUAACAGAACUUGGUAUGGGUUUUCUAAAAUUUUCCCUGGCUGAAAUAUUUUUUAAGUGUUUGCUGUUUUCAUCUUCAAACUCCAAAAACUUUUUUCUGUUUUGUUUGCUUCUCUUUUCUGUUUUGUUCACCACCUCACAUCUGUUGGGACGGUCAUCAUUUUUAAAAUUAAAAAAUAACAAGUAUUGGCAAGAGUGUGGAGAACUGUAACCCUUGUGUACUCUUGGCAGGUGUGUAAAAUGGUGCAGCAGCCAUGGAAAACAGGAUUGAAGUUUCUCAAAAAAUUAAAAAUAUAAUGGCCAUAUGAUCUUGCAAUCCCACUUUUAGGUAUUUAUCCACAGGAAUUGAAAAUGGGGUCUCAGAGAUACUUGCAGUUGUGUUCAUUGCAGCAUUACUCACAAUAGCCAAGAGGUAAAAGCAACCUAAAUGUCCACCAACUCAUGAGUGGAUUUUUAAAAAUGUGCUAUAUUAUCCAGCCUUUAAAAAAAAAGAAAAAGGAAGUCUUGUCAUAUGCUACAAUAUGGGUGAAUCUUGAAGACAUUAUGUUAAGUGAAAUAAGCCAGUCACAAAAAGAAAAAUCCUGUGUAAUUCCACUUUUAUAAGAUAUCUAAAAUAGCCAAACUCUUAGAAACAGAAAGUAGAAUUUCAGUUGCCAGGGGCUGUGGGAAGGGGUAAAAGGAUUGCCUGUUCAAUGGAUAUAGAGUUUCAGCUUUGCAAGAGGAAAAAGUUCUAGAGAUCUGCAGCACAACGAUAUACACACAGUUAACACUCCGCACUGUAUACUUAAAUAACGUUAAAAUGGUAAAUUUUAAGUUAUGUGGUUUUUUACCACAAUUUAAAAAAAAGAACUGUCAGGUGAUGGGGUAUGCAUGUCUUCAAUUGUGGAAGAUAAACUUAAAUUGUUUCCAAAGUGUUUGUGCCAGUGUAUACACUCUUACUAGCAGUGCAUAAGGCUUGCAGUUGCUCCACAUUCUCACCAGCACUUGAUAUUAUGAUACAUUUUUCCCCUAAACACUAGACAGCCGGGUAUAUACUUCUUAAAUUUUACCAAUUUGAUGGAUUAUUUUAAUUUCCAUUUUAUUGAUUACUAGAGUAUGAGCAUUUUGGCUAUUUAUUGGCUACUUGGAUUUUCACUUAAGUGACUGGCCUAUUCAUGUCUUUUGAAAAUUAUUCUAGUGUUCCAGUUGUCUUAUUACUGCUUUAAAAAAUCAAUUCUUUAUAUAUUUUGAGUACAAAUUCUUUAUAAGUCAUUGAGUAGCAUAUAUCUUCCAGUUUGUGACUUGUCACUUUGUAAAUGGAGCCUUUAAAGAAAACAAGU